rnacentral:rRNA from 1 species
UGGGGAAUAUUGCGCAAUGGGGGAAACCCUGACGCAGCAACGCCGCGUGAAGGAUGAAGGCUUUCGGGUUGUAAACUUCUUUGAUGAGGGACGAAAGAAAUGACGGUACCUCAAAAACAAGCCACGGCUAACUACGUGCCAGCAGCCGCGGUAAUACGUAGGUGGCGAGCGUUGUCCGGAAUUACUGGGUGUAAAGGGCGUGUAGGCGGGGAUGCAAGUCAGAUGUGAAAUGCCGGGGCUUAACUCCGGAGCUGCAUCUGAAACUGUGUUUCUUGAGUGUCGGAGAGGAAAGCGGAAUUCCCAGUGUAGCGGUGAAAUGCGUAGAUAUUGGGAGGAACACCAGUGGCGAAGGCGGCUUUCUGGACGAUAACUGACGCUGAGGCGCGAAAGCGUGGGGA